AGUGAACGCUGGCGGUAGGCCUAACACAUGCAAGUCGAACGGCAGCCCAGUAAGAGCUUGCUCUUAUGGGUGGCGAGUGGCGGACGGGUGAGGAAUACAUCGGAAUCUACUUUUUCGUGGGGGAUAACGUGGGGAAACUUACGCUAAUACCGCAUAAGACCUCCGGGUGCCAGCACGGGAUCUUCGGCCCUUGCGCGAAUGCAUGAGCCGAUGUCGGAUUAGCUAGUUGGCGGGGUAAAGGCCCACCAAGGCGACGAGCCGUAGCGGGUCAGAUAGGAGAAGCACCCAAACUGGAACGGGAGCGCGGCCCAGAAUCCUGCGAGAGGGAGCAGGCGGGAAUAUUGGACGAAGGGCGCAAGGCUGAACCAGGCAUACCGCGUGGGAGAAGAAGGCCUUGGGGUUGUGAAGCCCUUGUGUUAGUAAGGAAAGGCAGCAGGUUAAUACCCCGCUGAUCCGGCGGUACCCAAAGAAUAAGCACCGGCUAACUUCGUG
rnacentral:rRNA from 1 species